UACGUAGGUGACAAGCGUUGUCCGGAUUUACUGGCGUAAAGAGCGCGCAGGCGGUCGAUCAAGUCGAGUGUGAAAGCCCCCGGCUCAACUGGGGAGGGUCAUUCGAUACUGAUCGACUCGAAGGCAGGAGAGGGUAGUGGAAUUCCCGGUGUAGUGGUGAAAUGCGUAGAUAUCGGGAGGAACACCAGUGGCGAAGGCGACUACCUGGCCUGUUCUUGACGCUGAGGCGCGAAAGCGUGGGGAGCGAACAGG
rnacentral:rRNA from 1 species